GGCCCCGCCGCUCUGCUGCGAUGCGUGGCCUCUGGAGCGCCAGCUAAGGGCCUCGCCCCAACGUGCGGCGCCGGCCCGCCCGACGCGCAGCGCCGCUCCGCCCCGACACCGCCCCUCAGCUACUCGACGGCGCCCUGCGUCCAUCCGCGCCGCCCUCAGCUCCUCCUGCAGAUCGCCCUCAUCUCCUCAUGCGCUGCGCCCUUGCGACGCCAUCCCCGGCGACGGUGGCUGCAGAGUAUGAGUGCAUCAUCGCGACACUUUGUCAAAGUCUGGACACUUUAGAUGAACCAGAGGCCAAGGCAUCAAAGAUUUGGAUAAUUGGAGAAUAUGUUGAAUGAAUUGACAAUGCUGAUGAACUUCUUGAGAGCUUCUUGGAAACAUUCCCUAAAGAACCAGCAUUGGUUCAACUGCAGCUGCUAACUGCUAAUGUUAAGUUGUUUCUGAAGAAGCCAACUGAGGGGCCACAGCAGAUGAUACGGGUUGCGAUUUUUAGAUGCUACUUUUUUUUACAUAUGCGUGCAAUAUUUCCACAUGGUUUAAGGUGUGCCUGAAUAUUUACUAUUUUACUUAUUUGCUAUCAUGGGCCCUUAACCUAUCAUGGAUGACAUGGUGAUGUAUUUGAGAGCACUGAUAUAAUAAUGUUGGUUGUUGUUGCAAGUAUUUUCCCUUUU